rnacentral:lncRNA from 1 species
UGUUUAAUGCGUUCUGCGUAUAUGUGAUUUUCCAUCUGUUUUUAAUCAUAAUUUGGUUGAUGUGAAAAAUUUUGCACAUACAUGAUAGAAAUUGGAAGGCAUUUUGCAUGCUACUAGUGAUAAUUUUUUUACACAUACAUGUGAUUAAGCUCGCAAAAUAUUUAUUUUAAACAUAUGUUUCUGUACUAAAAAGGGCACAUUUUGAACUUUCGCACUGGGCAUCAAAAAAACUCAGGACCGGCCCUGGUUGAGGUGAAACCCCCGACGUGGAGGAUUUAUAUCCUAAAAGAUUGGUACUUCCUGAUGGGGCAAAGGAAAACUGAAGAGAAUAAUUCCUGUGUGUUGGAUUUGACUGCUCAGUUCUGUUGGGUCUCGACCCUUUCUUACGCGGACCUAAAACCAAACUGUUGUGGCUCUUUAGUUGGCAUGUGCGGAUCACAUGCUAGGUCUUUUUAGCGCUCAUAAUAUAAAGCCUCACAUUGUGCAAUUUGGACGAGAGGUUGAACCGAAGCAGCUGCACUAGUAUGACGGGAAGAGGAGCCGAAACCCAAUAGAAGAGAGAAAUAAUUCGGAGCUGCUGCAUUUUUAUUUUUUUUUGGUAAGAGUGAAACCAGUUAGAGAUUGUUGUAGUUGCAGAGAGACAAAUAUUUUGUUUCUAAUUCGUUUAUUCGCUCAUCUAUUUGUGUGUAUUUGAGUGUAUUUUGGGUUUGAGUUUGAGAGCUUUCUUUGUAAUCUCGUUUUGUUUAUUAGUGGAACUUCCUCACUGUCCUUAAACUGGAUGUAGGUUUAUGCCGAACCAGUAUAAAUCUUUGUGUCAUUUUGAAUUGUUUGGUUUUUCAUAUUUUUUCGUAUUAGUUUAUUGGUUUCAAAUUAGCGCUUCCACACAACACUCUAAACCCAGUGAAGGUGGAGAGGAGCUUCUUGUAUUUGGAAGUGCCAAUCAGAUAAUUUGUCAUCCAAUUUGACAUUGUCAGGAAGUGGAGUGGAGAUUGUUGUAAUGUUAAUUCAACAUUAGAACAAGAGAAAUAGCUCGAUGUGCUGAAAUUGAAGAAUUCAGUUGCAAACAACACAUUUAUGUUGCUCAUCAGAACAAGAUAAAUUAGAAUAAUUAAGUUUUUAAUUGCCCAAUUAUUCCAUCCCAUAUGAAUUUAGAAUCUGGAGGACGUGUUUCUGCUUUGUUUUCAAAUGUCCUAAGCACUUUGUAGAGCUGUGGCAACUUUGCAGCCACAAGACAUCAAUACCAAUUACCAAGUACCCUUAAUUACUCUUCCAAAUGUCUCAUAUACUCUUCGUGUUGACGCGAACGAGAGAAUUUUCAAUGUGCUUGGCACACGGCUUGGUACAUCAAGUUUUAUAAUAUAAUUAGCUGGAAAUUUGAAAUAUUUUUUUAAUGAAUUGUAUCAUGACUCAUGGUGUUCGAGUAAUGUGCCGGCCACACAAAAAAAAUUCUUGACAUGAACACAAUCAAAGGCAUUGCUGUUAGUUACUCAUAAGAAUACAAAGGUUACAUGAAAGAAAAAGAUUAGACUUCUCAUUCCACGUUCAACUUAAAUGAAUUGCACACGAGUUACUUAGUUACACAAUUAUGUAAACGUACUAAAGUGUGCACAGCUUUCGGAUUAGGUGGGUUGGAUGUAGACACAAACUCUUAUUAACCAUUUUAAAUGGGUCAACACGAUUAUGCCCGACUCAAACAAAUUUAUUUUUUGUCUUUUCCAAGUCGAAUUGUCGAAUAUGUCUAAAAUUGUUACCUCUACUCUUUCUUGGCACUUUCUACCUAAAUUCGAGCAAAAACAAUGAAAGUUACAUCCGAACAAAAAUACAAUAAAAGAUACAUCAUCCAACAACUUUCAUAUUUUUAAUAGAAAAACACGCAUGUAAGUGGCCUUUACAAUGGUAGAGAAAAGUACUACGGUGGGAGCUAGCACCAUGGAUAGAGAUUUUCCAGCCACUGUGAAGCUCGGAAAUGGCAGGACUAUUACCGGGGUUUCGCUCUACAGGGGAAGGAUGAUGCUGUCAACAAACAAGCAAUACCCUGUUGUGUAUUUGGGAAGCAAUUCAACUAGUCCUAAUCCGAGCUCGCUGUGUUUGGAGGGGACGUUGGAUCGCCGAGUUGUGGCCGGAAAGAUUGUGAUUUGCGACCGUGGGAUUAGUCCUAGAGUGCAGAAGGGAGAGGUGGUGAAAGAAGCCGGAGGAGUUGGGAUGAUCUUGGCAAACACAGCUGCAAACGGAGAGGAGCUUGUGGCGGAUUGCCACCUUGUUCCGGCGGUUCCUGUGGGAGAGAACGAAGCAAAGGGAAUCAAGCAUUAUGCUUCAACAAGCCCGAGAGCCACCGCAACUCUAACAUUUCUUGGAACUAGAGUUGGGGUUAGACCGUCGCCUGUGGUGGCAGCGUUUUCAUCCAGAGGGCCAAAUCUGGUAAGCCUUGAGAUUCUCAAGCCGGAUAUGGUGGCACCAGGAGUGAACAUCCUCGCCGCUUGGACAGGCGCAUUAGGCCCGUCCAGCUUGCCAGCAGAUCGUAGAAGGGUGAAGUUCAAUAUACUGUCCGGGACUUCAAUGUCCUGCCCCCAUGUGAGCGGCAUUGCCGCUCUGCUCAAGGCAAGGCACCCGGAUUGGAGUCCGGCGGCAAUAAAGUCCGCCUUGAUGACAACCGCUUAUGUCCACGACAACACGCGAAAGCCUCUACAAGACUCCUCAGCAGCUUCAAUUUCAACCCCGUACGAUCACGGUGCAGGGCACAUAAACCCGGGGAGGGCUCUUGACCCGGGAUUGAUUUACGACAUUGAGGCGCAUGACUAUCUUGAAUUCCUCUGCACACAAAGGCUAACACCAACACAGCUCAAAGUUUUUACCAAGUACUCAAACAGAAGUUGCAAGAACAAUCUAGCCAGUCCCGGGGACUUGAACUAUCCGGCACUCUCGGUUGUGUUCCCGGAGAGAACAAAUGUUUCUGUUUUGACACUUCACAGAACUGUCACUAACGUUGGCCCUGCGGUUUCGAAUUACCACGCCAUUGUUUCACCGUUCAAAGGUGCUUAUGUGAAAGUCGAGCCUCGGACGCUGAAAUUCACCAAAGCCAAUCAGAAGCUGUCAUACAAAAUCAUCUUCACUACGAAAUCCCGGCAGGCAGUCCCGGAGUUCGGCGGGUUGGUGUGGAAGGAUGGAGUGCACAGGGUGAGAAGCCCCAUUGUUGUAGUGUGGCUGCCACCACUAUAAAUCCUGCACCGGAUUAAUUUUAAUGUGUGUUUUUAUUAAUGCUCUUUUGAAUAAACAAAUUUUCUGUAAUAGUUAGCAUCCUUCCUCUGCUUCUUGCUGUGAUCUUCUAGCUACUGUCAACCUUAGAACACAAGCGAAACAACGAUGUGUAGUGAAAACGUAGAUUACGCAAGUUCAAAUCACAUUGAUGUUGUUAAUUAGAAGAUUCAGAACUAGAUUAGAAUAAUUUCUUAAUUUGCUCAAUUUCUAUAUUGAUUCACAUGUUUCUGCACUAUUUUCAUGUCACGACUCACAAGCAUUUGGUAGGAGUUCUGGUAGUUUUUGCGAGAAUGACAAUUUCAGACAUGCACGAAACAAAACAAAUUUAAACACGACACGUUAUAGGACAUGAGAUUCACGAUAUUUGUAGCCGCAUAAAUAUGAAGAUUUUAUGGUAGGUUAUACCUUACCAAAAUUUCAACUUGUCCAAAGGAUUAAGUGCACUUGAUAUUCGAGAUGUCUCACUAAUUGUGUGAAUAUUUCAAUUCGAAUAUGUCUCCAGUUAUACUCAAGUUUUUCUCCGAACUGUUUGAGUACAAUUUGGAUCAAAUUCAAUACCGUCAUGAACAGCUUACAAACUAAACUCAAGAAAUGGGAUUACCAAUUUACCAGCAUUAACCUUUUUGUUUCUUUUGACGAAAAAAAAAAAAAUUUAAUGCUGGCGGGACGUGGGCCUAUUUGGACUCAUUCUGAUGGGCCUUCUAAAAAUUUAAAACCAAGCUAGUCCAAUUCGUAUUUGAAUUUCCCAAUACGUUGAAGAAUUAUUUUAGGAUGAUGUUAUCCAAACACUCAUUUCUUCCUUUCAUACACUUCUUUUGAUUUUAGGCAAUCGAAUCAAAUAAAUUGAAGAAGAUCAAAUGACAAAAUUAAUAAAAAUAUGUGAGAGGUAAAAAAUAUGUGUAAAUAGCACUACCCUUAUUUUAUUACUAGCUUCUUUCUUUUGCAUUUGAUUUUUUUUGGAUACUUUAUUCUUUCUUUUUUUAAAUUGGCUUAAUUUUAUAUUUAGAAUAAAUUCAACAAAAAAAAAACUAUUAACUUCUCAAUAAGAAGCGGUUAUUUCUUUUUAAUUUUUUAAUUACUAAAUUGUUAUUUAAAAUUUACUAGAAUAUGCUACGUACAAACUGUCACUUGUUGUGGUCUAUUUUUAUCUGACAGAGAGACUAAGGCCGUCGGCAGAGAAAGAGAGGAGAGAUGUGUGUUUGUAGAAUUGUAGGGGAAUGUAUGUGUUGUUAUCCCUCCUACAUUGUGCCUUUAUUUAUAGUAGUAAAUGGAGAGAAGAUAUUCCUUCUCCUCCAAGUAAUACAAGUUGUAAUAGGAAAGGAUAACUAGAAUCAAAUCUAAUAUAGGAUUUACACAAUCAUACUUAUUCUAGGAAUGUUUACAACACUCCCCCUUGAGUGUGCAAAUACUUAAGGUAGAUUCAGCAUCAUGCAAAAGUUGAGAAAGUCGACUCGUCGACAUUGAUUCAAAGGAACAACGCUUAUUCUCAAUAAGGUAGGAACUUGCAUAAGUAGUAAGUGUCACUAAAAAAACCCUAAGGCUAUGGCAAAAACCCGAGUAGGGACAAAAUUCAUAGUCUAAGGAAAAAUGCGUGAGAAAUGCAAAGUCAAAAGAAAUGUCUACAGGACGUCAUCAGGGAUAUGACCAGCCCAAGGUGGGUGCCUCGUUAAAACCUAGUUAGGUAGCAAAAACCCAGUGGGAAAAAUGCUUCUAAUCGUAGGGAAAAAGAGUACAUUAAGAUCAAGCAAGUAUCCAGAAGAUACUCCCCCUAAGUUUGACAUAAUUCCAAAGAGAAAUAGCAAAGUUACAACUCAGAAAGUUUAUGCAUACCAAUUCCAUGAGCAAGCUUCUGAAACGUCGCCUUCGGUAGUGAUUUGGUGAAGAGGUCGGCCAGAUUGUCUUGUGAUCGGAUUUGCAUGACUUCAAUCUUCUGAUGUUCUUGUUGUUGAUGUGUAAAAGAAGAACUUCGGCGCAAUAUGCUUGGUGUUGUCUCCUUUGAUGUAACCCUUCUUGAGCUGUUCGAUGCAAGCUGCGUUGUCUUCAAAAAUCGUCAUCGCGGCAUUAACGGCAUGAUGAAGAUCACAGGAGCUUCGAAUAUGACCCACUACUACUCUCAACCAAAAGCAUUCCCGAGUUGCUUCAUGUAAGGCGAGAAUUUCAGCAUGGUUAGACGAAGUGGCAACUAAGGUCUGUUUAGUUGACCUCCAAGAUAUUGUGGUGCCUCCAACGGUAAAGACAUAACCCGUUUGAGAACGCGUCUUGUGGAUCAGAUAAGUAUCCAGCGUCGGCAUAACCAACAAGGCGAGAAUCAACCCGACGAGCAUAGGGUGCGGCAUCACUCGAGGAUUCGUAGGGAUAGAAUAAGCCCAAAUCCGUAGUACCCUUAAGGUAACGGAAGAUGUCUUUCACGCCAGUCCAAUGUCUGCGUGUUGGUGCAUUAAUGUAUCUUGCCAAAAGAUUAACAGCGAAGGAGAUGUCGGGUCUAGUGCAUUGAGUUAAGUACAAUAAAGCGCUUAUCGCACUUAGAUAAGGAACUUCAGGUUCUAGAAUCUCUUCAUCAUCCUCCUUCGGACGGAAGGGAUCUCGCUUUGCAUCUAGCGUACGAACGACCAUAGGAGUACUCGAAGACUUCGCUUUAUCCUCAUUAAAACGGCGCAACACCUUUUGGGUGUAGUUCGAUUGAUGUACUAAGAUUUCAUCCGAACAAUGCUCUAUCUCGAGACCGAGACAGUAUCGAGUCUUACCUAGAUCUUUCAUCUCAAAUUCCGAGUUCAGGUGCGAAGCAGUUCUCGCUAGCUCUUCAGGAGUUCCGAUGAGAUUCAUGUCAUCGACAUAUACUGCAACAAUCGCAAAUCCGGAAUGUGACUUCUUAAUGAACACACAAGGGCAUAGUUCGUUGUUCACAUAUCCCUGACUAGUCAAAUACUCACUCAAACGGUUAUACCACAUUCUUCCGGAUUGUUUCAAACCGUAUAGUGAACGCCUCAGCCGAAUUGAGAGCGUGUUCCGGGGUUUGGACAUAUUUGAACCAGUCAAUGUAAGUCAUUCGGGAACUUUCAUAUAAAUUUCCGUAUCAAGAUCCCCAUAGAGAUACGCGGUUACUACGUCCAUCAGCUGCAUAUCCAGUUUUUCGGAAACUACCAAACUGAUAAGGUAUCGAAAAGUAAUCACAUCCAUAACGGGUGAGUAAGUUUCGUCAUAGUCAAUCCCGGGGCGUUGUGAGAAACCUUGUGCUACUAAUAAGUCUCAUUUUGCAUGCAUUUAUAUCUACCUUAUUGGGCGUCUUUGUGAUGUUUUUUUUAUUAAGCUAGUUGCAUUUUACAUUAUUUGGUGUUAGUGUGUAGCCAAGUGUGUAUUUGGAUCAAUGGGAAGGCAAAUGAAGUAAAAACAUUCCUUUUGGUAGCUGAGCAUUAUUCCAAAUGUGGAGAGGAUUCUAGGGAGUUAAUUUGAAGUCCAAAUGAAGAAUCUAGGAAACAUUUGGCUGCUGGAAUUUCAGGAAAGGAUGUGGAAGUGUUAAGUGGUGAAAUUCGGCCAUAUUGGGUGAUUCUAAACAAGGCAAAAACAUUGAAGUCAGAUUAUGUGGUUCUAACACCAAAACAUGCAUUCACAUGCAUGUUCACAACCUGGCCGUGCAUUCCAUUACCUUUCCAGCUCCCUUUUGCACCAAGAACAUGCACUUCCAUUACUUAAUUCACAUUAUGCCAUCCCAGCUCCCUCAUGCCCAUGCCGUGCACUGUCAUACCUUUUCCAGAUUUGUACAACCAAUUCCAGGUUGUCCAUUUCAGCUUUGCAGCCAAUACACAUGCAUGUUCAAUUAAAAUAGCUAUAUGCAUGCAUAUACACCUUGUGCCGUGCAUCCACCACCUCAGAAACUCACUCAUUCCAGCUCAUUUAUGCACUUCCAUCUCACAUGUGCAAUUCCAGCUCCAUUCUUAAUGAUGGCAGUGACAUUUCCCUUCUAUAAAAACCGUGCAAACUCACUUCUUUUGGGGGUUCUUCCAUUAUUUUGGGGGAUGAUUCACACAUUCUAAGCCGCUCCAUCUCUGUCCAUUUACUCUCCCAUUUGCAGAGAACAUCCAACCUUAAGCCGAUCCAUUUCCGUUUCAUCACACUUGGAGAAUCAACACCGAAGGCCACUCUUAAAGGAUUUCAGCAUCAGUUUUGCUUCAAGGGUUUCUUUUUAUUAAUUCUAUGUUCACUCAUGUUAUUUAUUAUUAUGUCCAACCUUUUGUAAACAUGAAGUGUAACUAAUCUCUCUCUAGGGAUUCGAUGUAGCCUUGCAAGAUUGCUAUGUAGUUAAUUCAGAAUUCCCAGUUAGUCUAUCUAUUUCUUGUUUCAUUCUCUGGUUUAAUUGUGACUUAGUGAGUUGAUUUUAAUGCUUGAUCAUCAUUUGAGUUAACCAUAGGUUGUUUAGCCAAGAUUAAAGCACACAUCAUGCAUAAUCUUGGUGGAUAUGUGAAUGAAUGAAGGGAAUGUUUUGCAAACAUCCUGCCGAGUGCUCCCUUGGGUUUUAUGAAAGUUUCUUGUGCAUUACAUGUUCUUGAUUAGGAACCAAAGUUGCACAUCACAAUUAGGUUCAUGAUUAGAGACAUUUGAUCAAAUCCACACAUCAUAUGGUUGAUCAUAUCCAUGUGAAACAAACUCAAGAAAUAGGUAGAUGACUGAGUAUAAACUGAUUUAACAAACAUGGCCUUAGGUUAGCAAUGGUAAAAUCGAAUCCCUAGCUUCAUUUCCAUUGGUACUAUUCCAUUCUAUUAGUUGUUGAUUCAUUUAUUUGUGUUCACUUCAUUUUCUUAUGUUUUUAAGUUACAACUACAAAAUCUGCCUACAUUGAUUAGUUUUAUUUCUCUAAUAGGAGCUUUUGCAAAACAAGUGGUUAUAUAAGAUCAAUUAGUCUCUGUGGAUUCGACACCCUUACUUGUGCCAUUAUACUAAACAUAUUCUAGCCCUAGCAAGGAAUAAAACAUCAACAGCUACAAGAUGAGCUUUGUAACGCACAAUUUCAUUCUUCUCAUUACGCUUCCGAACGAAAACCCACUUGGUACGUAUGACCAACGAUCGAGCAAUCAUUUGUAAACGCUUAAUGAAAGCCUCUGCCAGGCCGUUCUGGGUGUGAACAUGGGGUACAUGAUGUUCAACUUCAACCCCAACCGACAUGCAAUAGUCAUCAAAAGUUUUAGAUGUGAAUUCUCCAGCAUUAUCUAAUCGAAUAGAUUUGAUCAGAUAAUCAGGGUGGUGAGCCUUGAGCUUGAUAACCUGAGCCAACAGUUUAGAGAAUGCAGCGUUCAUUGUGGACAAUAAGCACACGUGUGACCAACGUGUAGAAGCGUCAACCAAAACCAUAAAAUAUCUAAAUGGUCCGCAGGGAGGUUGAAUCGGUCCACAAAUGUCCUCCUGAAUCCGUUGUAGAAAAAUGGAAGGAUUCGAACAAAUCUUGUCAUAAGAAGGCUUAGUAAUAAGCUUUCCCAUAGAACAUGUUUGACAUGCAAUUUCAUGGAUCGAACCUAAGCUUCGGGUUAGUGGAUGCCCGUGUGAAGUUUUGAGGAUACGGCGCAUCGCUAUUCGUCCAGGAUGUCCCAAACGAUCAUGCCAAAGUGUAAUUUCGUGCGCGGUCCCUGUGGUAGGGCCGGCCACAUAAUGGCAUUCUAUGGGGCAUAUGGUCGUAGUAUACAGACCACUCGGGUUACGCUCCAUCUUCUCUAGAAUACGCUUCUGGCCAUAUUCGUAGGAAGUUACGCACAGAAAUUCAACUCCGUUUUCUACGUGGGUUUCAGCGUGGUAAUGGUUAUCUCUAAUGUCCUUGAAACUUAGUAACGUUCUUCCGGAACGUGGAGAAUAGAGUGCCUCAGCAAUGGUCAAGAUUGUACCAUUGGACAACAUUAUACGUGCCUUACCGUAUCCUUCAAUCAGGUUGGAUGGGCCUGAGAGGGUUGUCAGAGGUGCAUUCUUAGGUACGAAGUUAGUGAAAUAGAUGCGUUCACGCAAAACAGUAUGUGUGGUUGCACUAUCUGCCAGACAACUAACUUUCCCACUAGUCAUACCUAGAAUGAAAAAUUAAUUUGAAUCGGUCACAUGCAUAAAAGUUUAUAAAAACAAGUAUCAAUUCAAAAUAAUUUCAUUUAUUAAAAAAAAACCUUAAUAUCCAAAAUAAAAACCGCCAACUAAUAAUCCAAAACAUAAAGGAAAAUUGUUCAAAAUCAACCAAAAAAACAAGUUGGGGUUCGGCCACUAGGUGGAAUUCGGCCCCAAUUGUCUUAUUUUAACUGAAAAAAUAAGUCUAUGUCUAAGAUUCUAAUCUUCCAUAGGAGUGGUAUCCUCCUGAAAGUCAGAAACCUCCAUCUUUGUAGUCUCCGGUGCGUCCACUUGCAUGAAGUUUGAUUCAAACUUCUUACGACGAGAAUGAUAUUCAUCUACAACCUUCUUGGGAGCACGGCAAACACGGGACCAAUGGUCCUUUGAACCACAACGAUAGCAUAUAUCGUCAUUCAUUGUGGAAGGUGCUUUGCCCUUAUUCUUGAAGUUCGGGCCCUUAGGAGCGAGGUUUGGGCGCUUCGGGGCUUUGUUUCCUCCCAGAGACCUCCAAAGCGGUGAAGUCGAGUUUGUUCAAAUUCGACAUGUUCCUAUCACAAAAUAGAUGGACAAGAUGUGGUUAGUGUAAUGGAGAAAAAUCAAUCCAUUCACAUAGGAGUAGAACAUACAGGUUCUAAUAGACAUGUAUUGGUUUAAUUUCGCAUGAAAAACUUCGGGUUUCAUGGGUGAUAUGUUUAAGUGAAAACUUCAGGUUUUCAAAUAAGGCAUGUUUAUAAGAAACUUCGGGUUUCAAAGUAAUUAUGAACUAAAGGUUCAUAUAUUCCUGCAGGCAAACACAAAUAUAUAUGCAAACAAAUAUGCAACAAAUAUUGUAUGCAAAAAUAUUGUAUAAUGAUAAUUGAAUGAAUGUUAUUUUGGUCUUCGAGGCCAAAUUAAAGUGUGGGUGAAAAUAUAAAAACCCAUAUUAUUUAAAAAAAAUAUAUAUUAAAUAAUAAAAUCUCGGGGCCUAAAAAUAUAGGCCGAGAACCCUCGGGUGGGGCUACAGGCCCACGGGGAGAGCAGGGGGUUGGGCUGCUGCGGGCAGACCCCCCAAAACAUAUUUUUUUCACAAAGGGCUGCAUCAAGCAGGCCCAAAAGAAAACUAAAAAAAUCUUUUUUUUUUCUUCAGACUGGGCCGCUGAAAGCGAGCCCAGAAACAAACAAAAUUUGUGUUUUUUUUUCGCGCGGGCCGCUUUAGGCUGGCCCAAAAAAAAAUCUCUUUUUUUUCGUACGGGCCAAGAGGCUGGAGCCUACUAGGGCUCGGGUUGCAGGUAGCAGACACCCCAGCGACGCUGGGUGUGCUUGGCCGAGGAAAAAGGCCGGAAAAACUAGGACGACGCCACUGCAGGUGGUUGUCCUUGGUGUGUGCAAGCCAUGGUUCGUCGGAGAACCAAGUAUCUAUCGACGGAGAUGAAAUGUCGACAUGAUAUCAAAACCCUACAAAUUGAAAUCGAAUUUUCAAAAAAUUAUGACGAGAUUCCGUUGAAUCUCAGUUCAAUUGUCGACAUGGGACGACUUCAGGUCGUCGAGAAUAUGAACCAAAGGUUCAAGGCUGUGGCUGCAGGCCAUGCCAUGGUCGGGGGACACCAGGAAGGGUGUCAGGAUUUUGGGUUGGGGGUUUGGCUUUGUGGGUUUUUUCUGGGAACAAGGAGAGCUGCAUGCUCUCUGCUUGCGUGGAGACCCCAUCUGCAGGAUGGUGGUCACGGGUUCUAAAGAACCGAGGUCCCAAUCGCAAAAAAAAAAUGUUUUUUUUUUCAAUUCAAUUAUAUUAUAUGCAUGUAUAAUUUUAAUGAAUCACAUAUUUACGUUGAUGCAUAUGCAAAUAAUAGUUUCAAUGCAUGUACAUAUGUAAGAUUCAAUUCAUGACAAAUAUCAAAUUCACAUAAUUGUAGCAAUUUUGGUUAUGAAGCAUACACAAUUUAUGUAGAAUCUAAAAUACGUAAAACGUAAAGUUGGGUCAUGCAUCAUGGUGAAUGUUCAUGCUAUCAGGGCUUACAAAAUAUCGAGUUAAAAACCGUUGUUUGGAAAGAACCUGAUUGCGUGAUGAUAUGGAUGAACUGGUUUGAUGCAGAAAAAAAAUCUCCAACGUCAGAUUCCUAAGCGCAGCGGUAGGAGCGUGCUGAUAACGUGUUGUGGUCUAUUUUUAUCUGACAGAGAGACUAGGGCCGGCGGCAGAGAAAGAGAGGAGAGAUGUGUGUUUGUAGAAUUGUAGGGGAAUGUAUAUGUUGUUAUCCCUCCUACAUUGUGCCUUUAUUUAUAGUAGUAAAGGGAGAGAAUAUAUUCCUUCUCCUCCAAGUAAUACAAGUUGUAAUAGGAAAUGAUAACUAAAAUCAAAUCUAAUCUAGGAUUUACACAAUCAUACUUAUUCUAGGAAUGUUUACAACAUCACUUAAUUUUUUGUUUUGUUUUUAAAGUUAAAGCAGAGCAGCAAGAGAGUGAGAGAUAACGUAAGAGUGAGGAGAGAGAGUAUUAUUUUUUUAUUUUUUAAAAUAGAUAUGUUAAAAUUACCUAUAAGUGGGGUUUGAAUUAAAAAUAACAAAAUUUUGUUUUGUAAAAUUACGUUAUUGCCUUUAACGUUUUUAUUGUAAUAAUAAUUUUUUCAUCUUCUUUUAAUUGACAAAGAUAAUUCUAUUAAUAUGUAGUUUAGUUAAGAUAAACAAAAAACCUUUUUGGCAUAAGUGAUGUUCCAACAAAGUUUAUUAUUAUUUUUCUUUUUUUUCUUUCCGUUUUUCUUCUUAUUUUUUUUGCUAAUUUUCCUGGUUCGUUUAAUUUUUUUUACAAAAAUACCCUGUGACACCUUGUGACUUUAAAGUAAAGUUCUGGCUUCCUAAUGACAAAAAUAACUUUUUUAACAAACGAUAUUAUUUGUACUAAGAGAAAGGGUGAGCUAAGCCUUACAAUGACCUAGCAAUAAUGUGGUUCAAAUUCACCUUUAGCGAUAAUUGAAACUAAAAAUUAGAAGUGAAAAUGAAUACUAUUAGACCAGAAUAUUAAGUGGUAACAGUGAAGAUAAAUUAGUAAUAUUAUUAUUUUUAUGUACAAACCUAGUAGAAAGAAACUCAUUAACUUCCCGAACAUUUUUCAGAGUAUUCUCUCUUUCCAAUUUUAUAGAAUUACAUUUUUUUUUUUGAGAUGGUGCUAGGAAACCACCUAGUAAAAAGAAACUUAUUUUCGUUGACUCAUUUGACUCUCCGACGAUUUUACAGAGUUUUUUUCUUUCAAAUUUUAUAGAAUUAUAUAUUUUUAAUAAUGUUAAGGAAAUCAAAAUUUUAAAUCAAAUUUACAAGUUAAAUAAUAUUUCACCAAUUAAAAACAUCACGUUAAUCGACAUUCAAUGAAUAAUCUAAUCUCUACUAAUUAAUAAAACUUUUUUUGUCAACCAAAAGAGGGUGAAAAGACAAAUUUGUCACAUCCUGGCCCGGGUCCACCACUUUCCGGGCCCGUUCCACCAUCGUAGUACGAUAUUGUCUGCUCUGGGCUUACCAUUCCCUCACGGUUUUGUUUUUGGGAACUCACGAGCAACUUUCUAGUGGGUCAUCCAUCCUGAGAGUGCUCUGACCUCCUUCUCGCUUAACUUCAGAGUUCCUAUGGAAACCGAAGCUAGUGAGCUCCCAAAAAGCCUCGUGCUAGGUAGAGAUGAGAAUAUACAUUUAAAGAUCACUCCCCUGGGCGAUGUGGGAUGUUACAAUCGACCCCCUUAGGGGCCUGACGUCCUCGUUGACACACUUCCGGCCAGAGAUUGGCUCUGAAACCAUUUGUCACAUCCCGGCCCGGGUCCACCACUUCACGGACCCGUUCCACCACCGUAGCAUGAUAUUGUCCGCUUUGGGCUUACCAUUCCCUCACGAUUUUGUUUUUGGAAACUCACGAGCAACUUCCCAGUGGGUCACCCAUCCUGGGAGUGCUCUAGCCUCCUUCUCGCUUAAUUUCAGAGUUCAUACGGAACUCGAAGCCAGUGAGCUCCCAAAAGGUCUCAUGCUAGGUAGGGAUGAGAAUAUACAUUUAAGAAUCACUCUCCUGGGCGAAGUGGGAUAUUACAAAUUAGUCUUCUAUCACAAAAAAAAAAUGAUGGUCAAUAAUGUAAUUUCACAAGUCCAAAUUUUACUUUUUUUUAUUGAAGUUUCACCUACGAAUGAUGUUAAAAUACCUCUAAUAUUUAUAUAAAAAAAACCAAAAAAAAAAAAACCUCCCACUCCUCCACGUUCUCUCUCUCUCUUCCUCUUUCUCCUUCUCAUUUUCUAAAAAAAAAUGUGUUCAAAUACACAAAAUGUGUAGGCAAAUACUAGCCAUCUAUAACUACAACUUAAUUUAUAAAUUUAACUUAAAAAAUUUAGUUUUCUUAAAAUUACAUUUUUUUUUUGUUGUUUUAAUAUUUCAUUAAAACAAACAAAAAAAUCACAACGGAAACGAAACAAGCCCCCAAAAACAGAGAUUAGGCCCAAACAGAAACAAAGCUCAAAGAAGAAGAAAACCCUAGCAGCAGAGAAACUGUUGAAGUCGUCGUCCCCAUCGCCGCACUGCUGAGCCAAACGGAUGAACGGCCGCAGGGAUCCAGAAGAAGAUAAGGUCAAGCAAAAAACCUCCCAACACAGAACCUCCAACAGAUGCACGAGAUAAACCAAAAGACAGCCCAAAAAGUGCAGGACACGAAUGCUCCAUCAUCCUCCACGAACCCAACAUCGCCGCACCGGUGAGCCAAACAGAAUCAUAUCUUUGGGUACAAUUUUUCCAGCCAAUCGUUUAACUCCCAACUCCAAAAGCUGACGCUCAAUCGGCCAUUUCAGCUUUUACGUUGCAUUAGGCGAGUCGGUAGCUGACCAUCUGCUGUGGAUAUUGUCCCUGUCAGAUGUCAAUGGCUGCUCCUUCCUCUUCCUCAUUGAAAUACAACGUCUUCCUGAAUUUCAGAGGCGUAGACACUCGCAAGAUCUUCGUCGGCCAUCUCUACAGAGCUCUGGAUCAGAAAUUAAUCACCUUCAUCGACGCCGAAGAGAUCAGAAAAGGCGACGAUCUUUUGCAGCUCCUCUCAGCUAUCGAAGAGUCGAGGAUUUCGAUCGUGGUUUUCUCCCAGAACUACGCUUCUUCGACGUGGUGCUUGAAAGAACUGGUCAAAAUCCUGGCGUGCAUGGACGCAAAGAAGCAGAUAGUGGUGCCGAUUUUCUACGAAGUUGAUCCAUCUGAAGUUCGUAAGCAAAAGAAAAUUUUUGCAGAAGCUUUUGCUCAACACGAACGCGAAUCGAACGCCGACAUGGAAGAGGUGGAGAGCUGGAGGUCCGCGGUAACCAGAGCUGCCAAUUUAUCCGGCUGGGAUUCGCGAAAAUACGAGUAAUUACUGUUCGAUUAUAUUCUUAAUUACUUAUGAAUUGAGAUUUUUAUAGCAUUUAGUUUAAUUCGGUGCUGUUUUUCGUAUUACACAGGGAUGAUGCCAAGCUUAUUGAGGAAAUUGUGGAUGACAUAUAUAAGAGAUAUAUCCAAGUCUCGCCAAGCAAAGAUAAUGGCUUGGUUGGAAUGGAUUACCACAUAGAUGCAGUGAAUUCACUAUUACGUCCUGGGGUGGAUGAUGUUUUCACUGUUGGAAUAUGGGGUAUGGGAGGUAUAGGCAAAACCACCAUCGCUCGCGCUGUUUAUGAUGGAAUCGCAUGUCAAUUUGAAGCUUGCUGCUUUCUCGAAAAUGUCAAGGAAGGCUUCUCGAAGAAUGGUGCAGUACAUAUGCAAGAAAUGCUUCUUUCUAGAAUCUUGAAGCAGGAAAAGGUGCAGAGUUUAGGCACGUUGGAAAGGCUACAAAGGCUACAAAGGAAAAAAGUUUUCAUUGUUCUUGAUGACGUUGAUGAAUUAUCCCAAAUCGAAGCCUUACUUGGAAAGCAGCAUUCAUUUGGUGGUGGAAGUCGGGUCAUUAUAACAACUAGAGAUAAACAAUUAUUAAGUGGAGCUGGUGCUGUAUAUAAGCCCGAGAACUUAAGUGAGCCAGAAGCUCUUAAACUCUUCUACCAGUAUGCCUUCAGAACAAUCCAACCCACCCGAAAUUAUGGUCAGCUCUCAAGGCGUGCCAUACAAUAUGCCCAAGGUCUGCCUUUAGCACUCAAAGUGUUGGGAGCUUUUCUUGAUAACAAAACUGUGCCCGAGUGGGAAGAUGAGUUGGAAAAAAUAAGGAAAAUCCCGCAAAAGGGAAUUCAUAAUGUGCUUAAAACGAGCUUUGAUGGACUAGAUGAGUCAGACAAGGACAUCUUUCUAGAUAUUGCAUGUUUCUUGAAAGGAAUGGAUAUAGACAGUGCAAAAAAAAGUCUGGACAGUUGUGGCUUAUAUCCCCAUCGUGGAAUAAGAGUUCUAAUCGACCGAGCUCUCAUAUCUGUGUCAAAGUGGGGGGAACUGGUGAUGCAUGAUUUACUAGAGGAAAUGGGUCGGGAAAUCGUUCGCCAAGAAUGUAUCAAAGAGCCUGGGAGAAGAAGUAGGUUGUGGAGUUAUGAAGAUGUUCGUCAUGUGCUGACUCAAAAAACAGUGAGAUAUCUUUCUCUUAUGCAAUGUUUCGUAGAAAGCUUCAGCUUUCGACGAAAAUCUAUUUUAUAGCAAACAUGCAUUGUUUAUAAUAUUCAAUAAGGUUCUUUGUGUUUUCCUUCACUUUAAUUUACAUUGUUGGUUUAUCCAGGCUACAGAAGCAAUUGAAGGCAUAAUCCUGGAUUCAGCAAUCUUUAAAGAGAGAUGCUCAAAUACUGAAGCAUUUGUUAGUAUGACAAAACUAAGACUGCUCAUGAUACGUGAUGGUUACUUUGACGAAUAUGGGUUUGUAUCCGAGGAUUCAUUUGACAGUCAAACUUCAACUGAAGCAGAAGAUGAGCUUGCAUUCGGGGAUUCAUUUGACAAUCGAGCUCCACAUGAUUGCUUCAUAAAACACUGGAUUGCGGACUUAAAGUUCCAAAGUUCUCAGUUGAGGUGUCUCAUCUGGCGUGGUUGCCCCCUCAAGUCUUGGCCAUCCAACUUCCAGUUCAAGAAUCUUGUAAACCUUGACAUGAGCAAUAGUCGCAUCGAACAACUUUGGACAGGAGCUGAGGUACGAUUUUUCAUUUACGUAAAUAUAUUUAUUUUCAAUGUUUAGGUUCUGAGAUGUGUUGUGCAUGUUUUCCUGUACUUUUUAACAGCCUCUGGAAAAGUUGAAAUUCAUCAAUUUAAGUUAUUGUGAAAGCCUUAAGAAAACCCCCGACUUCACAAAGGCUACAAGUCUUAAGGAACUAAAUCUCAAAGGUUGUACAGAGUUAUAUGAGGUUGACCCAUCCAUUUCAGCUCUGAAAAACCUUGCUAUAUUGAAUCUAGGAGACUGUGAAAAUCUUAAGAGCCUUCCGGGCAUCAUUCGUAUGGGAUCUCUUCAAACCCUUGAUCUUUCUGGUUGCUCAAACCUUGAGAAGUUUCCUGAGAUUUCGGAAGUUAUGGAGGAGCUGUCAGAGCUUUAUUUAGUUGGGACUGCAAUUAAAGAACUGCCUUCUUCAAUUAAUAAACUCACAGGCCUCACUGUUUUGGACCUAUCUCAGUGUCGAGAACUCAAGAGCCUGCCGAGCAGCAUUCAUAUGGGAUCUCUUCAAACCCUUAAACUUUCUGGUUGCUCAAACAUUGAGAAGUUUCCAGAUAUUUCAGAUGUUAUGGGGAAUCUAUCAAAGUUAUAUUUAGAUAGCACUGCCAUUAAAGAACUGCCUUCGUCAAUUAAUAAACUCACGGGCCUUACUUUUUUGGACCUAAGAGGCUGUGAAAAUCUUAAGAGCCUUCCGGGCAUCAAUCAUAUGGGAUCUCUUCAAACCCUUAAUCUUUCUGGUUGCUCAAACCUUGAGAAGUUUCCUGAGAUUUCGGAAGUUAUGGAGGAGCUGUCAGAGCUUUAUUUAGUUGGGACUGCAAUUGAAGAACUGCCUUCUUCAAUUAAUAAACUCACGGGCCUUACUCUCUUGGACCUAAGACGCUGUGAAGAACUGAAGAGCCUGCCGAGCAGCAUUCAUAUGGGAUCUCUUCAAACUCUUAAUCUUUCAGGUUGCUCAAUGCUUGAGAAGUUUCCAGAUAUUUCAGAUGUUAUGAAGAAACUAUCAAGGUUAUAUUUAGACAAGACUGCAAUUAAAGAACUGCCUUCGUCAAUUAAUAAACUCACAGGCCUCACUGUUUUGGACCUAUCUCGGUGUCGAGAACUCAAGAGCCUGCCGAGCAGCAUUCAUAUGGGAUCUCUUCAAACCCUUAAUCUUUCUGGUUGCUCAAACCUGGAGCAGUUUCCAGAUAUUUCAGGUGUUAUGGAGAAGCUAUCAGAGCUUUAUUUAAACGAGACUGCAAUUAAAGAACUGCCUUCGUCAAUUAAUAAACUCACAGGCCUCACUGUUUUGGACCUAUCUCGGUGUCGAGAACUCAAGAGCCUGCCGAGCAGCAUUCAUAUGGGAUCUCUUCAAACCCUUAAUCUUUCUGGUUGCUCAAACCUGGAGCAGUUUCCAGAUAUUUCGGGUGUUAUGGAGAAGCUAUCAGAGCUUUAUUUAGACGAGACUGCAAUUAAAGAACUGCCUUCGUCAAUUAAUAAACUCACGAGCCUUACUAUUUUGGUCCUAAGAGGCUGUCGAGAACUCAAGAGCAUGCCAAGCAGCAUUCAUAUGGGAUCUCUUCAAACCCUUAAUCUUUCUGGUUGCUCAAACCUGGAGCAGUUUCCAGAUAUUUCAGGUGUUAUGGAGAAGCUAUCAGAGCUUUAUUUAGACGAGACUGCAAUUAAAGAACUGCCUUCGUCAAUUAAUAAACUCACAGGCCUCACUGUUUUGGACCUAUCUCGGUGUCGAGAACUCAAGAGCCUGCCGAGCAGCAUUCAUAUGGGAUCUCUUCAAACCCUUAAACUUUUUGGUUGCUCAAACUUUGAGAAGUUUCCAGAUAUUUCAGAUGUUAUGGGGAAGCUAUCAAAGCUUUAUUUAGGUGGGACUGCCAUUAAAGAACUGCAUUCGUCAAUUAAUAAACUCACGGGCCUUACUGUUUUGAACCUAAGAGGCUGUCGAGAACUCAAGAGCCUGCCGAGCAGCAUUCAUGUAGGAUCUCUUCAAACCAUUAUUCUUUCGGGCUGCUCAAUGCUUGAGAAGUUUCCAGAUAUUUCAGAUGUUAUGGAGAAGCUAUCAGAGCUUCAUUUAGAUGGGACUGCUAUUAAAGAACUGCAUUCAUCAAUUAAUAAACUCACGGGCCUUACUAUUUUGAACCUAAGAGGCUGUCAAGAACUCAAGAGCCUGCAGAGCAGUAUUCAUAUCGGAUCUCUUCAAACCCUUAAUCUUUCUGGUUGCUCAAACCUUGAGAAGUUUCCAGAGAUUUCAGAUGCUAUGGAGAAUCUAUCAGAGUUAUAUUUAGAUGGGACUGCCAUUAAAGAACUGCCUUCAUCAAUUAAUAAACUCACGGGCCUUACUGAUUUGAACCUAUCUUGGUGUCAAGAACUCAAGAGCCUGCCGAGCAGCAUUCAUAUGGGAUCUCUUCAAACCCUUAUUCUUUCGGGUUGCUCAAUGCUUGAGAAGUUUCCAGAUAUUUCAGAUGUUAUGGAGAAUCUAUCAGAGUUAUAUUUAGAUGGGACUGCCAUUAAAGAACUGCCUUCGUCAAUUACUAAACUCACGGGCCUUACUGUUUUGAACCUAUCUGGGUGUCAAGAACUCAAGAGCCUGCCGAGUAGCAUUCAUAUGGGAUCUCUUCGAACCCUUAUUCUUUCGGGUUGCUCAAUGCUUGAGAAGUUUCCAGAUAUUUCAGAUGUUGUGGAGAAGCUAUCAAGGUUAUAUUUAGAUGGGACUGCCAUUCAAGAACUGCCUUCGUCAAUUAAUAAACUCACGGGCCUUACUGUUUUGGACCUAUCUGGGUGUCAAGAACUCAAGAGCCUGCCGAGCAGCAUUCAUAUGGGAUCUCUUCAAACCCUUAAUCUUUCUGGUUGCUCAAAACUUUGAGAAGUUUCCAGACAUUUCAGAUGUUAUGGAGAAGCUAUCAAAGUUAUAUUUAGAUGGGACUGCAAUUAAAGAACUGCCUUCUUCAAUUAGAAAUCUUCCAGGUCUUGUUACGUUGAACGUAAGAGAUUUUAGAAAACUCAAGUCUCCCAAGCAGCAUUUGUGAUCUCAAGGCCCUUCACUAUCUUAGUCUUUCUGGUUGCCCAAAGUUUGAGGUGUUGGAAUUAUUGGGUAUUGCUCAUUUAUCAUUAUUGAGUACAUUAGAACUCUGCAGAAACAAUUUUGAGAGCUUGCCUGCGGAAAUGAAUUGGCUUCAUUGGUUAACAAGUCUCAAAUUGGAAGGUUGCAAGGGACUGAAAUCAAUACCAGAGAUUUCAUCAACUAUAAGGUUCAUAGAUGCCCAUGAUUGCACGGCUUUGGUAUCUGUUUCAAGACCAAGCAAGUUUUUUCCGAAGAAUCUUUACUUGACAUUUUCAAACUGCUUCCAGCUGGUGCAAAAUCUAUUUGAAGAUGUUGUGGAAGCUCAUCAGGUCUCUCUCUCUCUCUCUCUACGUGCAAAAGUAUGAAACAUAUCUAAUGCAAGUCCAGUUUACCUUUGUUUUCAUUCUGCAGGGUAAUCCGCAACCUCUUUCCUUGUUUAUGUAUCUUCCUGGAAGUAAACUUUCAGAUUGGUUCAGCCAUCAGUGUAGCAGAUCUUCCGUAACUGUGCAUCUACCACCAGUCUUGGAUCAUAAGAUUUUAGGAUUCGCUGUGUGCGGUGUUACUAAGUUCAAGUAUGCACAUUAUGCAUCUGAUCUAUCUGCUCUGUGUUUUUGUACCUUCAAAGGAGAGCAUGCAUGGCGAGCGCGGUUUCUGCUUUGAUUUGCUUGAUUUGAGCAUCACAAGAGGCAGGUUACUUGAGUCAGAUUAUGUGAUUCUGGGGCACCAGUUCAGCAGCAUCGCGUCAGAAGGAGUGGAGUUCGUCUCUUUUAUGCCAACUGUGAGGAGGUGCAUAAUCUCUUUUAUGCCAAUUGUGAGAGGAAGCUAAUUGUAAGCCCGUGUGGUCCCUUUUAUCCCAAAUUUGAGGUGGUGCGUUAUUGAAGCAUGAUACAGCCGGAUCAAUUCCACUUUCAAGAACAACACUAUCAUCAUGAGAAUUCUGAAGCCGAACUUCGUGCUUUUGGCAAAUCAAUGGUAAGAGUUGCACAUUCUGAGAGGAACCGUGAAGGGUGUUGCUAUAACGAGGGUGAACAAAAUGGAAGUGAUACCUCUGACGCAGAGGAUUUGUAUUCUAAAAGAUUGGUACUUCCUGAUGGGGCAAAGGAAAACUGAAGAGAACAAUCCCUCUGUGUUGGAUUUGAUGGCUCAGUCCUGUUGGGUCUCAACACUUUCUACGCGGACCUAAAACCAAACUGUUGUGGCUCUUUAGUUGGCAUAUGCGGAUCCCAUGCUAGGUCUCUUUAGUGCUCGUAUUUAAAGCCUCGCAUUGUGUCGAAUUUGGAUGAGACGGUGGGAAAUGUGAAUACAAGCAGCUGCACUAGUGU